UGGUGUGGUUUGCAGUCUGGAGCCUUCCAAGUGACGGGCCAGGUUUCCAGGCACGUCUGUUUUCCCUACUGCUGGUUUCAUGACCAGUGUGCAUUUGAGAGAGAACCACUGAGUUAGCUUCAAUGAGGAAUUGGGUCUGGAACCAUUGAAAUUUGGCCUAUAAACUACACUUAAAGAUGGUGGGGUACUAUGGACUCUGGGUGGUCAGGAUGUUUCUGUGAGUUCAUCAGUUGCAACAAAUGUCCCACUCUGGUGGGGGAUGUUGAUAUGGGAGAGAUUAUCCAUGUAUGAAGGCAGAGGGGUGCAUGGGAAAUCUCUGAAACUUCCCCUGAAUUUUGUUAUGAGCCUAAAAGUGCUCUAAAAAUAUAUAGUCUUUUUACAAAAUAGUAGGUGGAUGGAAGCAACUUCAGAGGGAAACCAUUAAGAUGGUGGGGUACCAAUAUGUCUUGAGGAGAUUUUAAGGAAUUAUUGAACUAAACUAAUGGGUACAAGGUUUGGGGUGUGGCAGGUUUCAGCCCAGAAUAAGGAGGAGCUGUCUAACCUGUCCACAGGCGGGGAUUGCCUCAUUAAUGGUGGUCUUGGCCCCAUGGACAUGGUCAGGAGGAGUCAAGUGUUUCCAGGGGUAAUCAUUUAUAUCGGGUUCCCAAACCUGCUCAACAGUAUCAUUUGGCCACUGUUGACAGGAUCUUUUGGGAUAUUCUGAGCUGUUCUGAUUCCUUGGUUUUGGGGUGGGGCCUGAUCAUCCAAAUUUUUAAUGAACAUAAUAGAUGAUCCAUUUGCUGGGUAGGAGUGGUGGUGGGAGGUGUGUAGUAGAGGACAGCAGUGUACAAAGGCCCUUUUUUGAGGAGAGGGUCUGGAGUGUUUUAGAAACUGAAAGGCUGACAUGUCUGUAACACAGAGAGAAUAGGGUGAGCUCUAUUAGAAAGAGUGGAGGUGACAGUGGGGGCCAGAAGUGGGAGAGUCGGCUGAACCACGUGAAGUAUUUCAGGUGCAGUUGGAAAGCACGUGAGCCAAGAGCAGCCCAGGCUAAGAGGGUUAUAUAAGUGCGUGUGAAUAUGCACAUUCCCACACAAAUACACACAAGGCUGUUAGAGAUCACUCGGGCUGUGAAGAGAAUGGAUUUAGAAGUGUCGUGGACAGGGCAAGGGUGGAUGAUGGUAGAUGGGUUCGUGGACUGUGUAUUCCAGAUUUCUGAUGCCGCACGUCCUAAAGCAGGAGAUAAUAGAGAAUCCGCAGGAUUAGCCACCGAGGCAUCGCACUCUCGUGUGUCAUUACAGCAGUGGUGUUGAGACAGCCCUUGGAGACAGAAAAACGGUGGGGCAGUAAUUCUGUGAAAGCAGCCGCUGUUCCUCUUCUUCAUUCAAUUCAGAGUGUUAGAUAACAUGGCGCCGUACUGAGCAGGAGGCUCCGUCAUGAACUCUUACCCUCUACGGAGGUGAAGUAACUUGGAGUCAUCCUUCCUUCCUUUGUUUCCCUCAUACCUUCCGUCAGCCUGUCAGCAAACCUAGUUGACUCUACCUUCGGAAUACUCCUAACCACAUUCCCUGCCAUCAGUUCGAGAAAUGCAUACCUAUAAAAUAAAGUUCCAGCUCCUUACCAUGGUCUUCAGACUUCUCCAGAGGGCCUGGUUCCCUACUGAAUUCAGGCCAUUACUGUUACGAAAUUCACGGGAAUCCUCGCCAUACCUAAGUGUUUACCUGCUCCCAGGUUUGCCUUGUUUGCCUUUGCUUUGUCGGAGGAAAGUAGAUACAGGAAAGCUCUCUCCUCAUUCUUACUUGUGAAAGGCCUAUCCCUUAUCUUUAAUGCCCAACUCAAUUGUCAGCCACAGAAAAAUGUCUUCUAUUCUUCCUGCUAAAAUUGUAUCUUUCCCUCCUCUGAAUUUUGA